rnacentral:rRNA from 1 species
GACAGAGGGUGCAAACGUUGUUCGGAAUUACUGGGCGUAAAGCGCGUGUAGGCGGCCCUGCACGUCGGAUGUGAAAUCCCACGGCUCAACCGUGGAAGUGCAUUCGAAACUGCAGGGCUAGAGUCCUGGAGAGGAAGGUGGAAUGCUUGGUGUAGAGGUGAAAUUCGUAGAUAUCAAGCGGAACACCGGUGGCGAAGGCGGCCGUCUGGACAGUGACUGACGCUGAGACGCGAAAGCGUGGGGAGCAAACAGG